AGGUCAAGUUAGUAAGGGCAUACGGUGGAUGCCUAGGCGCUGAGAGGCGAAGAAGGGCGCGGAUAACUGCGAAAAGCCACGGUGAGCCGUAAGCAGGCAUAGACCCGUGGAUACCCGAAUGGGGCAACCCGUCCGGAGUCAUAUCCGGACAUCGCUGACUGAAUCCAUAGGUCAGUGAAGCCAACCCGGGGAACUGAAACAUCUAAGUACCCGGAGGAAAAGAAAUCAAGCGAGAUUCCCCCAGUAGCGGCGAGCGAACGGGGAAUAGCCUAAACCGUCUCUACGGAGACGGGGUUGCGGGACCUUCAUCCCGAAUGAAUCAUCCUAGUCGAAGCGGUCUGGAAAGGCCCGGCACAGCAGGUAAAACCCCUGUAGGCGAAAGGACGAGCCAUUCCGAAGGGAUCCCAAGUACCGCGGGGCACGUGAAAUCCCGUGGGAAUCCGGGGGGACCACCCUCCAAGGCUAAAUACUCCUCAGCGACCGAUAGUGAACCAGUACCGUGAGGGAAAGGUGAAAAGCACCCCGUAAGGGGAGUGAAAGAGAACCUGAACCCGUAUGCUUACAAGCAGUCGGAGCGCGAAAGCGUGACGGCGUGCCUUUUGUAGAAUGAACCGGCGAGUUGCGGUCACGAGCAAGGUUAAGGCUCGAAGCCGAAGCCGAAGCGAAAGCGAGUCUGAAUAGGGCGCGUAAGUUCGUGGCUGCAGACCCGAAACCGGGUGAUCUACCCAUGUCCAGGGUGAAGCGGAGGUAAAACUUCGUGGAGGCC
rnacentral:rRNA from 1 species